rnacentral:rRNA from 1 species
CCUACGGGUGGCUGCAGUGGGGAAUAUUGGGCAAUGGGCGCAAGCCUGACCCAGCAACGCCGCGUGAAGGAAGAAGGCUUUCGGGUUGUAAACUUCUUGUGACAGGGAAGAGGAGAAGACGGUACCUGUCGAAUAAGCCACGGCUAACUACGGGCCAGCAGCCGCGGUAAUACGGAGGUGGCAAGCGUUGUACGGAUUUACUGGGUGUAAAGGGCGGGUAGCCGGGUUGACAAGUCAGAUGUGAAAUCCUGAGGCUUAACCGCAGAACGGCAUUUGAAACUGUUGAUCUUGAGUACUGGAGAGGCCGCCGUAAUUCCUAGUGUAGCGGUGACUUCCGUACAUCUCUGGCGGAACAUCAGUGGCGAAGGCGACUCUCUGGCACAUACCUGACGCUGCGGAGCGAAAGCGUGGGUAGCAAACCGGAUUAGAUACCCCAGUAGUC